rnacentral:lncRNA from 13 species
GCCCAAGACAUAAAGUUGCCUGAAAGCUGUGUAGCAAGAAUUCCUGCUCCUGACACAUAGGAUGGUAAUCACAUACAUGAUUGGCUUAAUCAAGAAUCAUGGAUACCUUUCAUACCUCAUCACAAGUUGGAACUAGUGGUCAACAUUGGGACAAUGCAGCCCAAAAUAACAGGGCUGAAUAUUUUCAUGGAGUGAGCAAGACCUGCCAGCAGAGCUCACUGGAGCAGGGAGACAUCCCGUCAUCCUUUUGGCGCCUGACAAAGUACACUUUUUUUCUUCUAAAUAACACUAUAGUAACAUCUUCUGCACAAUGUUACAUUCCUAAUAAGAUUGGUGUUAAGUGGGAAAGAAUCCUAAAGAUGGUCCAAUGGGCAUGGUCUGAAGCCUCUCGUCAUCUCAGUAUGUUGAACCACCUGAUUUCCUGCAGGCUUGAGAUUCAGAUCCUGCUGAACGAUGUUAAGCAGUCGAUUAACCACAUGCAGGGGACGCUGAACACCAUGCAGGGGCAGUGUAUUGAGUUGCAGACUGCCAUAUCUAAGAUCAUCACAGCAGCCGAAGUUGCUGUGCAGAGAAAGGAGAUCGUCCAAGCAUCAGGCCUCAUCCCAUCACAGAGGAAGGGUAUCCUCCAAAAAGCCAGUGUCCCUUCACAGAGGGAGGGGAUUCUCUCAGCCGCCAGCGUCAAUGCACAGAGGGAGGAGAACCUCCGAUCAUCAGGCGUCAUCCCUGCACGGAGGGAGGGGAUCCUCCAAACAGCUAGUGUCCCUUCACAGAGGAAGGGGAAUCUCUCAGCCGCCAGCAUCAAUGCACAGAGGGAGGAGAUCCUACGAUCAUCAGGCCUCAUCUCGUCACAGAGGGAGGGGAUCCUCCAAACAGCCAGUGUCACUGCGCAGAGGGAGGAAAUCGUCCCAAUGGCCAGCGUCCCUGUGCACAGGGAGGGGAUUGUCCCAAGGGCUAGUGUCCCUGCUGAGAGGGAGGAGAUCCUCCGAGCAUCAGGCCUCAUCCCUGCACAGAGGAAGGGGAUCCUCCAAACAGCCAGUGUCCCUGCACCGAGGGAGGGAAUUCUCAGAGCAGCUAGCAUCACUGCGCAGAGGGAGGAGAUCCUCAGAGCAUCAGGCCUCAUCCCUGCACAUAGGGAGGGGAUCCUCCGAGCAUCAGGCCUCAUCCCUACAAAGAGGGAGGGGAUUCUUCCAGCAGCUUCUAUCACUGCGCAGAAGAAUAAGAUGCUCAGAGCAUCACAACUCACCCCUGCACAAAGGGAGUUGAUCCUCCUGAUGACCAGUGUCACUGCGCAGAGAAAGGGAAUCUUCCCAAAGGCCAGUGUCUCUGCGCACAGGGAGUGGAUCGUCCCAAAGGCUGGUGUCCCUGCAGAGAGGGAGGAGAUCCUCCUCACAGCCAGUGUCCCUGUGAAGAAUGAAAACAAUCAUCCACAACCACCUCCCAUCAUCCCCAUGGUGGCACCACUGUGGAAAUGGGAUGUUGGAGCGUGUACUGCACCUGUGGAUAUCUAUUCCAAGAGAAGAGGUCACUUAACCUUACCUAAUUAGUAAAGAAAUGACCAUUGUGAUAGCGUGAGAAUAAGUUGUGAUAGGUUAAAUGUACGGCUCAUGUGAGUGUAUAUCUGUAAUACUUUCAUGCAUUUUCUACAUAAAACAGGUUUAGCUACAUUUUACUUUUACAUUUUAGUCAUUUAGCAGAUGCUCUUAUCCAGAGCGACUUACAGUAGUGAGUGUAUACAUUUUCAUAAAUCGUAAAUCGUAAAUCUCUCGUAAAUGUCUCCAGGAUUUCGCAUGGAUUUGUUUGAUAUUUGCAGAUAAAUAUGCUCGAUUUUGCAGCGACAAUUAUGACAUUUUGCAUUGUAAUAUGCAAUUGUCUUGUCCAUUUGUUGCA